UAGGGUACCUUGUGACCCUCUUUAGUUCAACCAAAUAAACUAAAAUUUUAAAAUAACACAACGUUUUAAAAAACUAGUUCAUUUGUUUGAACUAAGGAGAGUUAAAAGGUACCCUG
rfam:Brachypodium distachyon strain Bd21 chromosome 1, whole genome shotgun sequence.